GCUGGGCAUGGUGGUGCAUGCCUGUAGUGCUAGCUAUUGGGAGGCUGAGGCAGGAGGAUUGCUUGAGCCCAGGAGGUUGAGGCUACAGUGAGCUAUGAUUGUGCCACUGCAUGCCCACCUGGGUGACAGAGCAAGACCAUGUCUUUA
ensembl:misc_RNA Metazoa_SRP Metazoan signal recognition particle RNA